rnacentral:rRNA from 1 species
AAGCGCUUGCAGCUAGACUUGCCUGUAGUUGCUUAUCCAGACUUUUGUCUGGUGCACUCUUCUGCGGGCAGGCCAGCAUCAGUUUGGGCGGUUGGAUAAAGGGCUCUAUCACGUACCCCUCUUCGGGGGGGCCUUAUAGGGGAGUCGUCAUGCAACCAGCCUGGACUGAGGUCCGCGCAUCUGCUAGGAUGCUGGCGUAAUGGCUGUAAGCGG